UACGUAGGGAGCAAGCGUUAUCCGGAAUUAUUGGGUGUAAAGGGUGCGUAGACGGGAUAACAAGUUGGUUGUGAAACCCCUCGGCUCAACUGAGGAACUGCAACCAAAACUAUUAUUCUUGAGUGCAGGAGAGGAAAGUGGAAUUCCUAGUGUAGCGGUGAAAUGCGUAGAUAUUAGGAAGAACACCGGUGGCGAAGGCGACUUUCUGGACUGUAACUGACGUUGAGGCACGAAAAUGUGGGGAGCAAACAGG
rnacentral:rRNA from 1 species